rnacentral:rRNA from 1 species
AUGCAAGAAGAAGACUUUGAAAGAACAAAGAAGUUUGGAUCCGCAAAAGUAUGCUUAGGCAGUUCCUUCGCUGAGCACAACAGAAUAAAGAGGAAUUUUAAGUCGACCUAUUGCUGCGGAUCCCCGUUUACUAGGAAGAUAAGAAUCAAAAGGAUCGAACUACCUACUCAUUAUUCGGAGGUGAAUCAUAGAACACUAAAAGCUAUGGUAUCUUAUGGACCUAACAUAGGUCACAUCCCUCACGACAUAAGAUUGAAAAAUCCAAACCUUCCUCUUCGGAGCGGAAACGGACGUGGCCAAAACAUAUAA